AUUCUUUUAGUACAAACCAGUACACCCGACUUCCAAUCAGGAAAUUUCAGACUAAUCUGAAAAAGAAUA
ensembl:Mt_tRNA